rnacentral:rRNA from 1 species
UCGAGAAUCAUUCGCAAUGGGCGAAAGCCUGACGAUGCGACGCCGUGUGAGCGAUGAAGGCCUUAGGGUCGUAAAGCUCUUUCGCUUGGGAACAAGAGAAGCUGACUAACAUUCAGCCUAUUUGAGGGUACCAGGUAAAGAAGCACCGGCUAACUCCGUGCCAGCAGCUGCGGUAAUACGGAGGGUGCAAGCAUUAAUCGGAUUUAUUGGGCGUAAAGAGCGCGUAGGCGGCAAGACAAGUCAGAUGUGAAAUCCCGGGGCUCAACCUCGGAACAGCAUUUGAAACUAUCUUACUAGAGGGUAGGCGGAGAAAACGGAAUUCCACAAGUAGCGGUGAAAUGCGUAGAUAUGUGGAAGAACACCGGUGGCGAAGGCGGUUUUCUAGCUUAUUCCUGACGCUGAGGCGCGAAAGCAAGGGGAUCAAACA